UCUACGAUCAUUAGCUGAUGUGAGAGCAUGAUCAGCCACACGGGCACUGAGACACGGGCCCGACUCCUACGGGAGGCAGCAGUAAGGAAUAUUGGUCAAUGGACGAAAGUCUGAACCAGCUAUGCCGCGUGAAGGAUUAAGGUCCUCUGGAUUGUAAACUUCUUUUAUAUGGGACGAAAAAAGGUCUUUCUAGAUCACUUGACGGUACCAUAUGAAUAAGCACCGGCUAACUCCGUGCCAGCAGCCGCGGUAAUACAGAGGGUGCAAGCGUUAUCCGGAUUCACUGGGUUUAAAGGGUGCGUAGGCGGGCAGGUAAGUCAGUGGUGAAAUCCUGGAGCUUAACUCCAGAACUGCCAUUGAUACUAUCUGUCUUGAAUAUUGUGGAGGUAAGCGGAAUAUGUCAUGUAGCGGUGAAAUGCUUAGAUAUGACAUAGAACACCUAUUGCGAAGGCAGCUUACUACGCAUAUAUUGACGCUGAGGCACGAAAGCGUGGGGAUCAAACAGGAUUAGAUACCCUGGUAGUCCACGCCCUAAACGAUGGAUACUCGACAUAUGCGAUACACUGUAUGUGUCUGAGCGAAAGCAUUAAGUAUCC
rnacentral:rRNA from 1 species